AUUGAACGCUGGCGGCAUGCCUUACACAUGCAAGUCGAACGGCAGCACGGGUGCUUGCACCUGGUGGCGAGUGGCGAACGGGUGAGUAAUAUAUCGGAACGUACCUUAUUGUGGGGGAUAACGCAGCGAAAGCUGUGCUAAUACCGCAUAAUCCCUAAGGGGGAAAGCGGGGGACCGUAAGGCCUCGCGCAAUUAGAGCGGCCGAUACCUGAUUAGCUAGUUGGUGAGGUAAAGGCUCACCAAGGCAACGAUCAGUAGCUGGUCUGAGAGGACGAUCAGCCACACUGGGACGAAGACACGGCCCAGACUCCUACGGGAGGCAGCAGUGGGGAAUUUUGGACAAUGGGGGCAACCCUGAUCCAGCAAUGCCGCGUGAGUGAAGAAGGCCUUCGGGUUGUAAAGCUCUUUUGUCAGGGAAGAAACAGCAGCUCUAACACAGUAUGCGAAUGACGGUACCUGAAGAAUAAGCACCGGCUAACUACGUGCCAGCCGCCGCCGUAA
rnacentral:rRNA from 1 species